rnacentral:rRNA from 1 species
ACGGGUACUUGUACCUGGUGGCGAGCGGCGGACGGGUGAGUAAUGCCUAGGAAUCUGCCUGGUAGUGGGGGAUAACGCUCGGAAACGGACGCUAAUACCGCAUACGUCCUACGGGAGAAAGCAGGGGACCUUCGGGCCUUGCGCUAUCAGAUGAGCCUAGGUCGGAUUAGCUAGUUGGUGAGGUAAUGGCUCACCAAGGCGACGAUCCGUAACUGGUCUGARAGGAUGAUCAGUCAYACUGGAACUGAGACACGGUCCAGACUNNUACGGGAGGCAGCAGUGGGGAAUAUUGGACAAUGGGCGAAAGCCUGAUCCAGCCAUGCCGCGUGUGUGAAGAAGGUCUUCGGAUUGUAAAGCACUUUAAGUUGGGAGGAAGGGCAGUUACCUAAUACGUAUCUGUUUUGACGUCACCGACAGAAUAAGCACGGCUAACUCUGUGCCAGCAGCCGCGGUNNBACAGAGGGUGCAAGCGUUAAUCGGAAUUACUGGGCGUAAAGCGCGCGUAGGUGGUUCGUUAAGUUGGAUGUVAMMHCCCGGGCUCAACCUGGGAACUGCAUUCAAAACUGACGAGCUAGAGUAUGGUAGAGGUGGUGGAUUUCUGUGUAGCGGUGAAUGCGU